rnacentral:rRNA from 1 species
UACGUAGGGACCAAGCGUUGUUCGGAUUUACUGGGCGUAAAGGGCGCGUAGGCGGCAAUUCAAGUCAGUUGUGAAAUCUCCGGGCUUAACUCGGAACCGUCAACUGAUACUGCUUUGCUAGAGUGCAGAAGGGGCAAUCGGAAUUCUUGGUGUAGCGGUGAAAUGCGUAGAUAUCAAGAGGAACACCUGAGGUGAAGGCGGGUUGCUGGGCUGAUACUGACGCUGAGGCGCGAAAGCUAGGGUAGCAAACGGG